rnacentral:rRNA from 1 species
AUGCACGCUGGCGGCGUGCCUAAUACAUGCAAGUCGAGCGAACAGACGAGGAGCUUGCUCCUCUGACGUUAGCGGCGGACGGGUGAGUAACACGUGGAUAACCUACCUAUAAGACUGGGAUAACUUCGGGAAGCCGGAGCUAAUACCGGAUAAUAUAUUGAACCGCAUGGUUCAAUAGUGAAAGACGGUUUUGCUGUCACUUAUAGAUGGAUCCGCGCCGCAUUAGCUAGUUGGUAAGGUAACGGCUUACCAAGGCGACGAUGCGUAGCCGACCUGAGAGGGUGAUCGGCCACACUGGAACUGAGACACGGUCCAGACUCCUACGGGAGGCGGCAGUAGGGAAUCUUCCGCAAUGGGCGAAAGCCUGACGGAGCAACGCCGCGUGAGUGAUGAAGGUCUUCGGAUCGUAAAACUCUGUUAUUAGGGAAGAACAAAUGUGUAAGUAACUAUGCACGUCUUGACGGUACCUAAUCAGAAAGCCACGGCUAACUACGUG